GAUGAAGGAACGCAGCGAAAUGCGAUAAGUAAUGUGAAUUGCAGAAUUCAGUGAAUCAUCGAAUCUUUGAACGCACAUUGCGCCCUCUGGUAUUCCGGAGGGCAUGCCUGUUCGAGCGUCACAAAAGCCAACCUCACACUAGUUGUGGUCAUGGCGGAUGUGCGAGGGACGGACCCCUAACCGGGCCGCACCCGCACACCGCUGAAAUCCAAUGGCGGGCCGCCUCCGGGAACCUGACGUAGUAAGCACAACUCUCGUCGUGUUCUCCCGGACGGAAGCAGCCCUGCCCCAUGAACCCCCGAUACAUUCUGGUUGACCUCGGAUCAGGUAGGGAUACCCGCUGAACUUAAGCAUAUCAAUAAGCGGAGGA
rnacentral:misc_RNA from 1 species